GUUGCCUUUUACGUCGUUUGGGUUGCCUUGUUGAGCGAAGUCGCACUGAGAACAUCAUAUUUCACACACUUUAAGCAAUUUUAUUUUAUUUUAGGAUUAGUCAAACGAACCGUUCGGUUUGUAAUGCGUUCCGAACUGAAAGCCUCGUACCGAACGAUUCAAUACGAAUACGCAUAUCGUUACACCACUAACAAACACAUAUCCGAGCAGGAAACCGCACACCCAGAGGCCGCAUUUAUUAUAACAGGGGACUUCAACAAAGCUAACUUGAGAAAAAUAGCUCCAUAAUAGUUUCAACAUAUCACCACAAACACACGUGGGGACUGUGUUAUGGAUCACUGCUGCUCUCCCUUCCGGGAUGGCUACAAAUCCCUCCCCGGCUCAUCUUUCGGCAAAUCAGAUCACGCUUCAGUUCUGCUCCUGCCCACUUACAGGCAGAGGCUAAAACUGGAAGUGCCAGCCCUAAGGACGAUUCACUGCUGGUUGGACCAAUCGGACUCUAUACUGCAAGACUGUUUUGAUCACGUUGACUGGGAAAUGUUCCGGGCUGCUUCUGAUGACGACAUCGAGGCUUACUCGGAUACCGUAACGUGCUUUAUCAGGAAGUGUAUAGAAGACGUGGUGCCGAAAAAACAAUCCGCAUCUACCCCAAUCAAAAACCGUGGAUUAAUGGCGAUGCUCUUCUCUUGGCUGACCCGAAGGCCCAGACGGUCUAGGUGUCGGAGCACGAGGUCCCUGUGCUUAAACAACACAUCUCAAGAUAAGCCAAGAUAAGCCAUUCGUCAAGAUAGUUGAGUAUCCGCACGCCUUGCUCCCUGAGGGGAGCUAAGGCAGCCUCUACGAGUUUGGUAAAAACCGGGGGAGACAGGGCCAGACCGAAGGGCAGGACCUUGUACUGAUACGCUACAACUUUGUUGCAAGACGGAUGUUAUGAUACACUGCUUUGCAAAAAGGCGGACGUUAAGUGACGUCAUUGUGAAAAGGGCGUAUUACGGAUUGCCUUCAGAUUUUUCCAUCACUGAUAAAAAAAAAAAGAAUUUUCAGUUAAUGUGAUCUCUGCAGCUGAGUGGCGCUUGAGCUGCUGAACUGUCCCGCUCUCUCUUAGCGCUAGCUAACUUUGAAAACUACUCACACUCCUUUAUGUGACUAACCUUUAAAUGUCUGAUGAGGUUGGUGGUUUUGGGUGCUUCCCGCCUCGUGGAAUUUGCUUGGUACACACGAUGCAGAUAGCGCGUAAAAAAAAAGUCUCGCGCAUUUUGCGUCAUCUGAUUGCAAGGCCUGAAGCAAGGUUUCUUUUCUUCUCUGUGCGGUUGCAUGCGGCAGAGGGAGAUUGAACAAUUUUUAAUAAAUACAUUGAAAACUCAACAUUUUCACAGUUGCGCCCCCUGUAAACACAUUUAAAGAUCUGGCGCCCCUCCCCCAAUGUACAUUGAGGAUAGGUUAGAUCAGGGGUCGGCAACCUAAGGCACGCGUGCCACUAUUGGCACGCCGAGGGAAAAUCAAUGGCACGCCAAGCACAUUUAGAUAAAUUAUGUAUUUAAUACAAAACUAGUGUUUGUGAAGUUUAAAAAAAUAUUGAACGCCUGGUCGUAUUCGCAUGACAAAUUGCCCGUUAAUCUGUAAUCGUAAUCAACAUCUUUUACAUAAAGUUGUCUGUGCUUUAGAGGUCACGUGUCAUCGAUUGUGUAGUUUGCGCUCACUGUGGUGCUGGACUUCAGACGAGGGUCACAAAUGGCUACUACGCAAAAGAAGGCAAAAACUGACGCUCGGUCAUUUCAGCCCUCUUGGAGAGAAGAAUUCGGUUUUGUUUUUCAAAAAGAUCGUGCCGUAUGCACUUUAUGUUUAGAAAAUGUUGUGUGCCGUACUUCCAGCGUUAAGCGCCAUUUUGAAACAAAACACGAAAAAUCCUUCAAAGAUCAGGCAGAUAAGGCAGAGUCCAUCAGACGCGCUGUCUCCAGUUAUGAGAAACAAACCGGCAGUCUUCGUGUUUUUACUAGAUUGAAAAAUAAUGCUUCUGAACCAAGUUACCGACUUGCUCAUUGCAUUGCGAAACACGGAAAGCCAUUCACUGACGGGGAGUACAUUAAGGAUGCUUUCCUCUCUAGCGCAGAGGUCUUGUUUGAUGGGUUACCUAACAAAGAGACUAUUAUAUCGAGAAUCAAAGAUAUUCCCAUGUCAGCCAGAACUGUUCAGAGACGCAUAGAAGAAAUGGCAGAAAGUGUCAAUGAGCAGCAAACAGCUGGGCUGAAGGAUGCAAUGGUGUUUAGUGUUGCGCUGGAUGAGAGUGUGGACAUAAAUGACAUACCACGUUUGGCAAUCAUGGCAAAAUAUUGUGAUUCGAAUGUAAGAGAGGAACUCUGUUGCUUAAAAUCAAUGACUGACACAACAAAAGGGGAAGACAUUGCCAAGGCAUUUUUUGAGCACUUUGAGGAGCGAGGGGUUGACAUCGGAAGAAUUUUUGCAAUUACAACAGAUGGAGCCCCUGCCAUGGUUGGCAAACAGAAAGGAGCUGUCAAAUUAAUUGAGGAAAAAGUGGGUCACCCCAUUAUGAAAUUACACUGCAUAAUACACCAAGAGAACCUGUGUGCAAAAAUGUCAAAUUCAGAUCUUAAUAGCGUUAUGGCUACGGUUGUAAAGAUCGUUAAUUUCAUAGUUAAGCGAUCUUCCCUCACACACCGACAGUUCCAGUCCCUUCUCGAGGAAAUGGACUGCACGUACAAAGAUAUCCCUCUCCACUCGGCGGUUAGAUGGUUAAGCUGUGGUAAAGUUCUGGAGAGAUUUGUUGGCUGCUUUGACAGUAUUAAAGCCUUCCUAGCUGAAAAAGACCAAGUCUACACUGAACUCGAAGAUGAGACGUGGGUUUUGAAAGUCAUGUUUCUCACUGAUAUCACAGGCCACUUGAACGAGCUAAAUCUCCGACUCCAAGGUGCAGAACACACCAUUUUGAACAUGUUCGAAACAUGGGCUGCGUUUAUUGACAAGCUGGCAGUUUUCUCAAGGGAUAUCGCUACCUCCACAUUCCGAUAUUUCAAACAUGUACGGGAGCUGUCCGCGCAGUGCAGCGUUAACACGAGUGAGAUAUCCAAAUACAUGUCCGAACUCGAAUUGGAGUUCACAACACGUUUUGGGGACUUUCGGAAAUAUGGACCAAUGUUCCCUUUUUUGAUUAAGCCUGCGAGCUUCGAUGGACACGAAUUCGAUGCAUCUCUGAUAGAGUGGAUGGAUACACAGGACAUGGAAAUGCAGCUAAUUGAGCUCAAGAGUUCAGCACUCUGGGUGACAAAAUUUGCAGAACUCCGCAAGGAGUUGGAAACCACAGCAGUGAACAAUCAGGGAUCUUGCAUUUUUACAUGCUGGGCAUCAUUGCCAGAAAAAUUCUGCUGUCUCAAAAGAGUUGCUUUGGGUUUGCUGACGGUUUUCGGAUCGACAUACCUCUGCGAGCAAAUAUUUUCACACAUGAACAAUGUGCUUUGUCCCUCUCGCAAUCGCUUGACUGUUGAUCAUUCCGAAGCAUGCGUGAAACUUAAGGUGACGCACUACGCUCCCAAGAUAACAGAGCUCAGCAAAGGAAAACAGGACCAGGGCUCACACUAACUGGUAUUUAUAAGUACUGUACAUCUGUUUAAUCUUGCAUUAGCCUACACUGGGCCAUGCUGGUAUUCCUUGGCUUAACACUGAAAAGCAGCAUUAAAACGUGAUUCCAGUACUAUUUGUUUUCCAAACUCUUGCUGCUCUGCUUUUUGUUCUAUAAAAAUGUUUUAUAUACAUAUGUAACAGUUUCAGUUAUUAAAGAAAUAUGUGCAAAUACGUGUUUUUAAAAAUAAAGAUGGUAACUAUAACACAUGUGAAAAAGCAGCAUUAGAACUGGAUUCCAAUACUAUUUGUGUUUUAUACUCUUGCUGUCUUACUUUCAAAGGAGCAAAAUGUUUUGUAUAAACAGUUUCAAUUUUUAAAGAAAUCUGUGCAAUUUUGUUUUAUUGAAAAAUAAAGAUGAUAGUCUAUUCAAAAUGUUUCUUUUUCUGUUUUGUGUUUUAUAGCCAUAUAGUAUAAGUAUACGAAUAGUGUCAAUCUAAAAAAUAAUAAUAUUGUGGUACAAUUACAUGUAAUACUAAACGUUGAUGUUAAAAUGGCACAGUGGUUGCCAUGAAAAAAAUAAAUGGCACAGCACUUCAAAAAGGUUGCCGACCCCUGGGUUAGAUAAUCUGUAUAAUGGUGUGGUGUGGUGUCAUUUUCCUGUGAAAAAAAGUGUUUUACAUAUGUAGAUAUCAGCUUUAAUGCGCAGCCUAAAAUCGCAUUGCGCGGGACCUAUAACGAGUCUGCACGGCCCUCACGCAUGCAGCUUCAGGCAGAACAUUGCCCUCCGUCAAUUUGCAGUCGCGUUCCUCCGUGCUUUCGUGAUAGAGUUCCGAAGGUUGGGUUUUCGGGGAACCGUUGCGGCCCACCUGCACAACCUCUGAGCCCCCUGGUUGAGAACCACUACUCUACCGAGUUAGUUUGACUCGGUUUAUUAGUGUUAAACGUAAACUAACACAUCAAGCAUUUAUGUUACACAUAAUGUAACAUCAAAUCUUUUAAUUAACAAUUUGUUAACAUUUAAUGUAGCUGUUUCUCUUUAUCAUGCAGUUCUAUAAUUGCAGUCAUGGCCUAAUGGUUAGAGAGUCGGACUCGUGACCAGAAGGUUGCCGGUUCGAUUCUCAGGGUCGGCGGGUAACGACUGAGGAGCAAGGCACCUUACCCCUACUUGCUCCCCAGGCGCUGCAGUGAUAGCUGCUCACUACUCCGGGUGACUUGCUGUGCGUGUUAACUACUCUCUGGAUGGGUUAAAUGCAGAGGUCACAUUUCGGGUAUGGGUCACCAUAUCUGACAAAUAGGUCACUUCACUUCAUAUUACAAGAUUUCAUGCAUUUCAAGUAUUGUGUCAGCUUUCAUCUAGCUUUCCUGUAGCUCAGUGGUUAGAGCAUGGCGCUAGCAACGCGAAGGUCAUGGGUUCGAUUGCACAUACAAAUUUAUAGUAUAAUGCAAUGUAAGUCGCUUUGUACAAAAUAAUCUGCCAAAUGCAUAAAUGUAAAUGUGUUGGGUCAUUUUCUGUAAGGACAAACUGGCAGAUAUUACAACUGAAGUUAAACUCUACUGAAGCAAUGGAAGGUCUUUAAUAAAACAUGUAAUUUAUUGUACCUACACUGACUUUUUAUUUGAGAAGCAGUGCUUUAGAAAUCAGAUUUUGGUUCCAGAUGACAUGGAUACAUUUCAGACCAUAGCUAUGGCUAUGGUCUUAUGACUCUCCAUAUUAAGAUGGCUAAUAUUUUCUUAGCUGUAGACAUCAGGUGGUCUUGCUUACCCUGCUGUUUGGUUUUGGAUUUUAAAACGUUUCCAUUGCUGUGUACUAAAAGCUGUUUGUUGUAACACGUGCACUGCAGUCAGUGGAAAAAACUGGAAGGUUGCAGACCUACAGCCUCUGUGACCUGGUGAAGUCUACCAACAUCCGCUGCAUUACUCUCCUGCUGUGCCUGGUCUGGUCAUCUGUUUCCAUUGGAUACUGUG